rnacentral:rRNA from 1 species
GACGAACGCUGGCGGCGUGCUUAACACAUGCAAGUCGAACGGAAAGGCCCUGCUUUUGUGGGGUGCUCGAGUGGCGAACGGGUGAGUAACACGUGAGUAACCUGCCCUUGACUUUGGGAUAACUUCAGGAAACUGGGGCUAAUACCGGAUAGGAGCUCCUGCUGCAUGGUGGGGGUUGGAAAGUUUCGGCGGUUGGGGAUGGACUCGCGGCUUAUCAGCUUGUUGGUGGGGUAGUGGCUUACCAAGGCUUUGACGGGUAGCCGGCCUGGGAGGGUGACCGGCCCAUUGGGGCUUGAGCUCGGCCCCGGCCCCUACGGGGAGGCGAGGGUGGGAAUUGUGCACAAGGGGGCGGGGCCCGGGCCCGACACCGCCGUGGCGGGUAAGCGGUCCUUGGGUUAGAAAUCUGUUUCCCCCUGAGCCGAGGGGUGAGUGACGGUAAUGGGAAAAGAAGCCCCGGCUAACUUCGUG